AGAGAAAACCCAAUUCAACCCCUUACUUUUUCAUUCUCUCCCCUGGUGUGUCUGCUGCGCCACCCGAGCUAAUCCCCCAAAUCCGGUCUCCUAGACCGCAGCUGCUUCCCUCCGUGGUGAUGAAUGGCUCUGGGAGGGAAGUCAGACCCCUUUCUCCUCAAGGAGACAGCAAGAGGAGGUUCAUCAGGACCUGACUUCUCCAGGGAGCCCCCCAGCUGGUGCUGGAGAACUCUGCCAAGUGUGAAGGGAUAAAGGCAGGGGGGCAAAGCCCAGAGAGGAGCAGAGACCACAGCCCUAGCCAAAGGGGCUCGCCAGUCAGUAGCUGUACUACCAGGACACUUGGAGGGUAAGGGAGAAGAGAAUCCUGACAGGACCCGGCUCCAGUGAGGGCACUGAGGGCCUGCCAGCUGGGCCUUCUGCACUGCCUGGAGAAACGUGGAGGAAGUUUAUCCAAAGGAGCAAGGUUAGCCAGAACUGUGGAACUGUCCAGAAAGCCACCAACUGGGCCUUGCCAAGUUCUUCAAAGACAGUGGAACCGCUUUGCAGGGCAGGCCCAGGGGCAGAGGAACGACAGCAGUGAGCCAGAGGAAUCUGCAGGUGGCCGAGGCUGAUCAGACCCCACAGACUGAGAGCCGUCUCCUGACGCCUCCUCCCAUCCCCAGCCAGAGGGCUAUGGCUACCAGAGGGACCCCUGCCUCCUGUGCUGAGGGCCGCCCCAGCCAGGUGGGGAGAAUGUGGCGACUGGGGCAAAUCAGCCUCAGCCUCCACCUCAGACUUAGGUUUUUGCCAGGGAACACACUAUAUCUUUACCUUUGUGUACUGAGCUCCCACCCCCUUGCCCAGCGUAGGUGCUCAA